CGUGGCCCAGCAGUCAAGACGCCAGGCUAGUACCCUGGUGGUCGUGGGUUCGAGCCCGG
rnacentral:tRNA from 1 species